GUUGAAACACGUGCAGAAACGGCCGUUAGCGGUUUCGCUUCCCUGGGGCCGCAAUUCCUAAACGGCGACUCCCUCCUUAGCGGUUGUGGACCCCACCUUUCCUUCUCUUUCUGUUAAAAUUUUUUAUUAUUAAAUUUAAUCCCUUUUCUUUUUACUUGUAUAAAUCCACUUCUCUUAACCCAUUUUUUAUUAGCUCUUUCUCUCUCAAGGCGAAUAUAAACUAUCCUCUGAGAGAGAAUCUGCAGCAAAUUGAGCUUCCUUUUUUUUUUUUUAAUUUAAUUUGAUUCCUGAAGAGAAUUGAACGGCAAUAUAGCUAAAAGCUUCAGCCUUUUUUAUCCAAUCAUAACUGAGGGAUGUCAUUUUCCUUAUUGACUGAUCAGUUUUGCAUUUCAUUAUGAUGAAGAAGAAAGGAAAGGUAUCUGGUGCUUGGAUUAUAUAAUCCCAAGAUCAUGUUGGAGGGCCCAUCAUACCUUGUCUCAAGGGAUUUGCCAAGCUCCUGCGAGCACGAGAGCAAGUGGAUUUAUAAUACUUUUUGUGUCAUCGAGCUCUCAAGAAGCAAGCACCGGAUGGAAGAUGGAGAAGACCAGAUGGCAAGAAAGGUUCUCAAGCCACUCGAAGGUGAUGAGGAUGAGGGAAUAAAGCAGGAUAUGUACCUUGCCCAAACUGAUGAACCUGGUACCCAGCGCCAUGCUGGGGAUCAUUCAGAAUCAAGUUUACUGAUCCACCAGCUUGGGCGAGACAUUUCGAUUAACUGUCUCCUACGCUGCUCAAGGUCUGAUUACGGUGCCAUUGCAUCUUUGAAUAAGGGUUUCUGCUCUCUUAUACGGAGUGGUGAGCUGUACAGGUUGAGGCGGGAAAUGGGAAUUGUUGAACAUUGGGUUUACUUCUCUUGCAACCUUCUGGAGUGGGAGGCUUUUGAUCCAAUUUGUCGCCGAUGGAUGCAUUUGCCUAGAAUGACGUCCAAUGAAUGUUUCAUGUGUUCGGAUAAGGAGUCGUUGGCAGUUGGGACAGAACUUCUUGUUUUCGGAAAGGAAAUAACGUCCCAUGUUAUUUAUAGAUAUAGCAUUUUGACGAACACGUGGUCAUCUGGGAUGAAGAUGAAUACACCCAGGUGCUUGUUUGGAUCUGCCAGUCUGGGUGAAAUUGCAAUUCUAGCUGGUGGUUCUGAUCCAUGUGGAAAUAUUUUGAGCUCAGCAGAGCUUUAUAAUUCAGAAACUGGUAAGUGGGUGACCAUUCCAAGCAUGAAUAAGGCAAGAAAAAUGUGUUCUGGUGUAUUUAUGGAUGGGAAUUUUUAUGUUAUUGGUGGAAUUGGGGUUGGCAAUUCAAAGACACUGACAUGUGGGGAGGUGUACGAUUUGAAGGCAAAGACGUGGCGUGAGAUACCUAACAUGUUCCCUGCACGAAAUGGGGCGGCUGGAGCAACUGAAGCACCUUCUGCGGCUGAGGCACCUCCUUUAGUGGCAGUUGUGAAUAAUGAGCUGUAUGCAGCUGAUUAUGCACUAAAAGAAGUAAGGAAAUAUGACAAAGAGAAGAACUUGUGGGUUACUCUAGGGCAAUUACCUGAGCGAGCAGUCUCAAUGAAUGGCUGGGGGUUAGCAUUUAGGGCGUGUGGGGAUCGGCUAAUUGUUAUUGGCGGACCUAGGGCUUUAGGUGAAGGGAUGAUUGAGCUUAACUCAUGGGUUCCAAAUGAGGGCUCGCCACAAUGGAACUUGCUCGCACGCAAGCCCUCUGGCAGUUUUGUGUAUAACUGUGCUGUGAUGGGAUGCUGAAAUGUGCAUCCAGUUUUGGAGGUACCAUGUCUGCUGUAUGAAGUCCUUUUUUACUGGAACUUACAGCUGUGGCCUCAAGGAGAAAAGGUUCUGGAGAGUGGGCUUGCGAGAUAGAAGGGCUUGGUGCUGUCUCUUUCUCAAGUUACGUCUAAUUUCUGUGUAUUUCAGGGGGAAUAAAAUGAGAAAGAAGAUCAACAUCCUACGAAGUAGAUCACAAUUUUCCUUUUACUUUUGUGCUGCAAUUCAUUUACACAUCACCAAAAAUGGCAUUAAUUUGCAUUUUCUGGAUUCAGAUCUUGAUAUAGGACAUCAGAUGUACACAAGAGCAAAGUAGAAAACUUGGCAUAUGUGGCUGGUUGGAUGGUAUUUUAAUGCUCUGGAGAAGAGAAACUGCCAAGAAUGAAAGUUUUGUUGUCUUAUACAUAUCAAGGUUUCCAGUUGAUGAUAUGAUGGAAAUUUUUCAAUUUUUCAUGCUCCCAUUAUAGCUAUUGAAUGAAAAUUCCUGUCUAUCAAUAUAAGUUUUUUGGGCUAUGGUUUGAAUCUGCAGGAUUUUUUGUUUCAAUAUGUUUGGUACAAAUUUAUUGGUUAAUCAUCUUUGGUACAAAUAUAUGAUUCAGUAUGCUGUUUUA